CGCUAUCUAUCCUGAGUUUCA
rnacentral:miRNA from 2 species